rnacentral:rRNA from 1 species
UACGUAGGGUCCGAGCGUUGUCCGGAAUUAUUGGGCGUAAAGGGCUCGUAGGCGGUCUGUUGCGUCGGGAGUGAAAACUUACAGCUUAACUGUGAGCGUGUUUCCGAUACGGGCAGACUUGAGGUAUUCAGGGGAGAACGGAAUUCCUGGUGUAGCGGUGAAAUGCGUAGAUAUCUGGAGGAACACCGGUGGCGAAGGCGGCAUCCUGGACCGGUAUUGACGCUGAGGCGCGAAAGCUAGGGGAGCAAACGGG